CGAGCCUUCCAGAGCCUAGUCUUGUACAGGAAGGAGAGAGACUAGGGGCAGAGGGCAGAAUUAAAAGGAAGCCCAGGACUUAUUAAAAGGGCAGAUCACCUGGCUUCUUGGGAUACCAGGAUGCCAGCUAUGGCCCCCCUUCUUCUCCCAGAAAUCUAUGUUACCCCUUUUUAAAUAAACCCUGUUUCAUAUGCUUGCCUGGGGGUGCUUCUCUAAUGUUCAGACUUCAACAUGUGGGGGAGCAGGACUCGUCCCAGCAACCGGCCGGUAUCAUAUUUGGAGGUUCCCACAGAGAUCUACACCGAGACAAGUUCUUAAGUUGCAGAAGAUGGCCUCCAACUUGUGAUCCUCCUGCUUCAGCCUCCCCAGUAGCUGGGAUUACAGAGUCUGAUGAAUUCGAUGCAGUUCCUCAGAGGGCCCAAGGAAUUUCAGGACAUUUUGGUCUCGGUUUGUUACACUUGUUCAUUGAUAACAAUGAGACUGAUGAUAUGAAGGUGGUCUUGGUGUUACAUCCCCCCAAACCCCCCUUCCCCCCAGAGGGCUAUGCUAUGGAGUCUUGCCAUGUUUAAGGACACAGGGGAAACUCUUUGCUCUGUUGGGUGGUUUCACAUGGUGAGAAUCAAAGGCCCAACAAGAGCCAUGUGAGAGAGCCAUCUUGGAAGCAGAUCCUCCAGCCACCUUGGAGCCUUGAGAUUACAGUUCCAGCUGACAUCUUGCCUGCAUUUCAUGAAAGACCCUGAACCCAAAGCAGCCAGCAACACUGCUCCCAAUUCCUGACCCUCAGAAACUGUGAGAUAAUAUCUGUUGUUAUUUUAACCUAAAAUGUUUGUUGGACAGCUUGAUAGCUAGCAAUACAUCAUGAAUACACGUUAGAACUGUAAAAUUGUUUUUUAAUCAUUUAAAAACUGAAUAUAAUAAAAAAAGACAAAAAGGUCGUUUUUAAACACUAAAGACAAACUGAAACAAAUGAGCCUAACUAUCAUGUUGGUGACAAAACUAAAAACAAUAAUUAUUUCAAGUGACUUGGAAACACAGUAUUUUUACUGUAUAUCCCUAGUGGGCUGGAUGUUAAGGACAAAAAUAACUGUAAAUAAAUCUUAAAUGGCAUUCAGCCAUCUAAUUGUUACUAAGAAUAUUGGUAUCAUUAUCCUGAAACUUUUCUAUCUGCGUAGUGGAAUGCAGCAAAUAGGUCAUUAUGUUAAUAUCAUUAAGAACCAAGAUUUUACACAUGAGAGAAGAGAGACACACAAAAUCAAAGAAAUUAAGUGGAAGCCCUUUAAUCUUUAGAUUGGAAGUAGCAGUAUUUAUUCAUAAUUUAUUUUUCUUUUUCUAAAAUAAUGGCUGUCUUAGUUGUAUGCGUUGAAAAAAAAACCUGUAAGAAAUUAUAACAUAAUAGCAAUAAAUGCAUGGCAUUCAGCUUGUGGUAUUUAAAAAUGAUUUCAAACAAAUAUGUAGAACUCCUUAGGGAAAUGGUUAAUUUCAGUUCUGAGGCUGGAAAUCUUAAAGCAAUAUUGGAUUUUUCUAGAAAUUAAGGACUUCAGGGGUCAUAUUAAAGAACUAAGGAGGAGCUGGGGGUAUAGUUGAGUAGUAGAGCACUUGCUUAGCCUGUACCUGGCCCUGGGAUUAAUCCCCACCUCACCACCAACAACAAAAGACUAAAGAACCAACUUUUUUUCUUUUUUUGUUUUUUUUGGUACUGGGG